GACGAACGCUGGCGGCGUGCUUAACACAUGCAAGUCGAACGGAAAGGCCCUGCUUUUGUGGGGUGCUCGAGUGGCGAACGGGUGAGUAACACGUGAGUAACCUGCCCUUGACUUUGGGAUAACUUCAGGAAACUGGGGCUAAUACCGGAUAGGAGCUCCUGCUGCAUGGUGGGGGUUGGAAAGUUUCGGCGGUUGGGGAUGGACUCGCGGCUUAUCAGCUUGUUGGUGGGGUAGUGGCUUACCAAGGCUUUGACGGGUAGCCGGCCUGAGAGGGUGACCGGCCACAUUGGGACUGAGAUACGGCCCAGACUCCUACGGGAGGCAGCAGUGGGGAAUAUUGCACAAUGUGCGGAAGCCUGAUGCAGCAACGCCGCGUGCGGGAUGACGGCCUUCGGGCUGUAAACCGCUUUCGCCUGUGACGAAGCGUGAGUGACGGUAAUGGGUAAAGAAGCACCGGCUAACUACGUG
rnacentral:rRNA from 1 species